ACCAACGAUGAUUAUAUAGAAGACCCGGCUGAUAACUAUGAUAUGGGAUUCACACAAGUCAGAGAUACUGUACUCAAAAAUCUUCCAAAAGAGACAAAGCAUGCGGUUGCAGAGGCAGUUAAAAGUUGGCUGAGACAUGCCAGCGAACGGUUGAUGAGGAAUCAAUUAAAAGGAAUGCCAGUACAAGAC